UGGAGGUUGCGGUGGUAAAUGAGGCUGUGGUGCGUCACAGUUGUAAUUUCGUUAAAAUUGAUUUAAAAACUGCAAAAAAUUGAACCUUAACAUUUCAGGUGCAAUUAUGUUUUCUGUCAAUUGACCUUGGCUGUUUAUGCUCUGCGCUAAAUUAUUGACAGCGACGAUGUGGUAUUAAAGUUCGCUUUCGCAUGAUGAGCUGGGAGUACCAAAAAUAUGUCUGUGCCGUCGAAGGCUGCGGUAAAAAGUUUAAUACAAAAUGGACUUUAAAGCGACAUUCAGCCAAACACCAGAGGGGCUCCACUACACUAUACUAUUGCACAAAAUGCAACAAAUCCUUUUCUCGCAAAGAUUCAUUAGAUCGACAUAAUCACAUGAGCCACAGCGACAUAUUAUUAAUGUAUAUGUGCCCAGAGAAAGGCUGUGGAAAGCUCUUUAGUCUUAAAUCCACGCUUUAUCGUCAUAUAUCUUCGCAUACAGAGUGCUUCAAAUGCGUAGAGUGUGGCAGUAGCUUUUCACGGAAGGACAAUUUGACUAGACACAAGACUAUUCAUACGAAAAACCUAUCGAGCCAUCACGAGAAGUCUAUCGAAUCUGAUGCGGUUGCCAAUCUUACUAUUGAGCAAAUCCCUAUCCUGGAAAAUACAAUGGAAUGCAAUGAUGUAGACGAUGAUCGGAUAUAUAUGGUCUUGGAUAGCUAAAUACUGUAAUCCUAUUAAAAAUCAAAAUCAAGCAUCUCACCCGCCCAAAAGUAUCGAUACUAACUUAUAAUAAAAUCAUUGAAUGAUCAAAUACAGUAAAA